UUGUCAGCGUGGGGUGCCGCAGGUGUUCGGUGGAGGCUGGAGGCCGCAGAUUGUGGGUCAGUGAAAUGCAUUCCUAAACAGUGAAAGGCUAAAGAUGUCUAGACAGAAUUUACUGGCUUUGACAGUGACCACCCUUUUGGGUGUGGCCAUGGGGGGAUUUGUCCUGUGGAAAGGCAUCCAGCGUAAAUGGAGUAAGACAAGCAGAGUGAUGCAGCCACAGCUGCAGCCACAACCACAGCAGCAGCAGCAGCCGCAGCCACAGCAGCAACAGCAGCCGCCACAGCAGGAGCAGCAGAAGCAGCAAGUGCCCGGUGCGAGGGAGUGGCCCCCUCCAGAAGAUGACCAGUUACCCUUUGGUGCCCUGAGAACACCCAGAGCUUCAUGGGAGGAGAGGAUACUCCAGGCAGAGGUGGUGACAGUUUCUCAGGAGGCAGAGUGGAAUCAAAUCCAGCCCUUUCUUAAAAGAGAGUUGGAAGAUUUUCCAGUACUUGGAAUUGACUGUGAAUGGGUGAAUUUGGAAGGCAAAGCCAGUCCUUUGUCACUCCUACAGAUGGCUUCCCCAAGUGGCUUCUGUGCAUUGGUUCGCUUGCCCAGGCUGAUAUAUGGAGGCAAAACACUACCCAGAACACUUUUGGACAUAUUGGCAGAUGGCACUAUCUUGAAAGUAGGAGUGGGAUGCUCAGAAGAUGCCAACAAACUUCUACAGGAUUAUGGCCUCAUUGUUAGGGGAUGUCUGGACCUCCGCUACCUAGCCAUGAAGCAGGGAAACAGUGUACUCUGUAAUGGGCUUAGCCUGAA
rnacentral:lncRNA from 1 species